UACAGAGGUCUCAAGCGUUUGUUCGGAUUCAUUGGGCGUAAAGGGUGCGUAGGUGGCGCGAUAAGUCGGGUGUGAAAUCUCGGAGCUUAACUCCGAAAUUGCAUUCGAUACUGCCGUGCUCGAGGACUGGAGAGGAGACUGGAAUUCAUGGUGUAGCAGUGAAAUGCGUAGAGAUCAUGAGGAAGACCAGUGGCGAAGGCGGGUCUCUGGACAGUUCCUGACACUGAGGCACGAAGGCCAGGGGAGCAAACGGG
rnacentral:rRNA from 1 species